CCAGACGGUUGGACGACCGCUGUUGCGUCAAGCAAGGGAGGAAAGUCCGGGCUCCACGGGAGAACGGUGCCGGUUAACGACCGGCGAGGGUGACCUCAGGGACAGUGCCACAGAAAAGAAACCGCCUUCCUGGCCUGCUUGCAGGCUGGAGGUAAGGGUGAAACGGUGCGGUAAGAGCGCACCGCGCUUCCGGUAACGGCGGCGGCAGGGCAAACCCCACCGGGAGCAAGACCGAAUAGGGACGGUAGGCAGCCUGACUGCCAAAGGUUCUCCCGCCUUCCGUCCGGGUUGGUCGCGUGAGGCGUGUUGCAAGACACGUCCCAGAGGAAUGGUCGUCUCGAUCCUUCGGGGUCGACAGAACCCGGCUUACAGACCGUCUGGCAUU
rnacentral:RNase_P_RNA from 1 species